rnacentral:tRNA from 1 species
CCCCUCAUAGCUCAGUUGGUAAAGAAUCUGUCUGCAAUGCAGGAGACCCAGGUUCGAUCCCUGGGUCGGGGAG